UUGCAUUAGGUGUACUAAUACAAACCUGAAAGACUAUUGCCACGGCAGACCGGUGUGAAUGCUAUGAAAAAAAAAGGAAAUAUCUUUUUUCUCUUUCCUCGAAAUCUCCUCCUCUCUCACAGUCUCACCUACCUUAGCUUCUCUCUCCUCUUCAUUCUUCUUCAUCUUCUAUAAGGGCUGCAAUUUUGAGCCGAUUUUGAGCAGCCGCAACUCUCCCAGUCACCGUCAUCCUCACCGGAGCUGCUUCGAGGUUCUCAUGACCCACUGUCACCCUCACGCUUCACCUGCUCUCCACGGCUCCACCACUAUCGUCUCUCUUCGCCGUCGCAUUCUUCUCCGCUCCUCCAAAUCUUUCCUUUAUCAAUGUCUUUUGCAUAGAUCUGGUCUAAGUAAUCUCUCUUUCUUUAUUUUAAAGAUUCAAUUUGAAUUGAAGAAGUUUGAAAUUCUAGGGUUAAUUUGAUGAAGACAAUUGUGUUAUUUAUAUUAUUACAUUUUAAUGUUGAUUAUUGUUCAUAACAAUCGUGCUAUCUAAGUACGGAGUAGUCAAUUUGUAGCAUUUUCCUCUGUUCUAUCUCAAAUACCAACUUCGCUUUUCAGUCUAAAUGGCGAAAUUACUCCCUCAAAGAAGCUACUUCGUUUGUUGGGCGAAAUGUGACUGUCAUUGUUUGUAUAGUUAGUGAACCUUACUUUGAAUUUUUGAACAAUUGGUUGAUUAGUGUACAUCAAGAUAAAAUUUUGGUGAUUACUGAGAAUUAUAACACUUCGUAUCGGGUUAAUCAAAGGUGGUCUGGUCAUGCUGUGCUAAUUCCUCCAGUUCUUGAAUCUAAUUCUGCCCAUAAAUUUGGUUCCUUGGUAUGAUUUUUCUUGCCAUAUUUUUUUCAAUUUAAUUUAUCAUAUUGUUGAUUGAUUACUAUUGCUGUUGGUUUUUUUUUUUUUUAAGGUUUUGAUCUGAUUCAGGUGUUUGAUCUUAUGUGAACUUGUUAUUUAUAAGGGCUAGUGUGUUAGUAAAUAGUUUGUGAAAUUGUGAUGUUAGUUGUCGUCAUGCGUGUUUUUUUAUUGUGAAAAUGUUGUUAUGAUUUCAGCUUCCGGACUACCAUGAGAUUAUUGAGAAUCCCAUGGAUUUUGAAAUAGUGAGAAAGAAACUCUUGGGUGGCUUAUAUGUGAUUUUGCAGCAGCUUGAGGACGACAUAAAUUUAAUAUGUUCAUAGAUUUCUUUACUGGUUACCUGUCUUAGUGCACAUAAUUUUUCUUAAGAAAUGCAAAUGAGCAUUUUUACUAUCGCUUUAUGAACAAUGUGCUGAGUGGGGAGUUUAUGCAGAACUACUAAAUACUGAAUAACGUGGCUUUUAGUUCGUUGCAUUGUCUGGGUUUAUAUUUUCUUAAUCUUUUUAGUUCUUACGUUUCCGUGCAUUUUCUUUUACGUGAGCUCCCAUGCAGCUAAAAGGUAAAUUCUUGAACAUUUGAGUACAUGUGGUUGAACCAAUUUCAUGUGGAAUUUGAUGUAAUAAUAUCUGUUUGUAUUUUCUGUUUUCAAUCCGAUUAUUUAAAAAACUAAUGAUUGUUUUUUAUAGGCUUUGGUUUGCUCAUCGACAUGAUACAAUUGUGAUGGCUGGGAGAGUACUGUUUGUGGAAGCUGGUAGGCUGCACGACAUUGAGUAGACGACUAAGGAUAAAAGGGGCCAAUUACAGAAUUUCAACAAUCCAUGAAGAAAUACCUGCUUAAGUUUUUCAUACUAUUAGCUCUAAACUUAUGUCAAAAUUAUGUUUUAAGGAAUAUACAUGUAGUUAUAGGUGUUAUUUGAACUUGUAAUUUUUUUAAGUGUGACAUUAUAUUUAUGUACUCUUAAUUUUUAAAUUCAAUAAAAUUUUCCUUUAUUUUGUCA